UGCAGCCGGGGAGAUAGCGGUGCCCUGAACCUGCAAUCCGCUACAGCAGGGGUGAUAUCCUCGUCUGAGGGGCAUUGCUUGUGGAGCUGCCCCGUAUAAGUGGCGUUGACGUCUGGGUCUCGCGCAACGGAUGCUUGUGAACCGUGUCAGGUCAGGAAUGAAGCAGCACUAAGCAAGAAGUUUCGUGUGCCGCGAGGGUGCCUGGGCCGAGUUAACUGUACGGGUACCGUCUGUGAGCGUGUUUCGAAGCAGGAUGCACG
rnacentral:SRP_RNA from 1 species